rnacentral:rRNA from 1 species
ACGGAAGGCAGCAGUGGGGGAUAUUGCACAAUGGGGGAAACCCUGAUGCAGCGACGCCGCGUGAGCGAUGAAGUAUUUCGGUAUGUAAAGCUCUAUCAGCAGGGAAGAAAAUGACGGUACCUGACUAAGAAGCCCCGGCUAACUACGUGCCAGCAGCCGCGGUAAUACGUAGGGGGCAAGCGUUAUCCGGAUUUACUGGGUGUAAAGGGAGUGUAGGCGGCUGCGCAAGUCAGAAGUGAAAGCCCGGGGCUUAACCCCGGGACUGCUUUUGAAACUGCGUAGCUUGAGUGCAGGAGAGGCAAGCGGAAUUCCUAGUGUAGCGGUGAAAUGCGUAGAUAUUAGGAAGAACACCGGUGGCGAAGGCGGCUUGCUGGACUGAGACUGACGCUGAGGCUCGAAAGCGUGGGGAGCAAACAGGAUUAGAUACCCUGGUA